UAAAUUAUAGCUUAAGGGCAAGCAUUCCGGUUACGUUGGAAAGAUCACCAGUUUCGGUGUAGUUUAAUG
rnacentral:tRNA from 1 species